ACACCGUUGGUGAAGUGGUUGUCAUGCUUGCCUUCCAUAGCUUGUAGGAGCAAGCGGCUCGGGUUCGAUUCCCGAACGGUGUA